UCCGGGCCGAGUCACCUGCUUUUAAGUGACGGUAGUUUGUCAUGUGACUUCCUGUUAGGCCACUUUAGUAUUGGUGCCGUCAAUCUGUCAUUAAGUUUAUAAACAGCUGAGGUCUGGUGUAUUGUAUUCACUGCCCGAUACCGAGGUCGGGUUUGCCGCGCUCGCCGCCCGAUACCGAGGUCGGGUUUGUCGCGCUCGCCGCCCGAUACCGAGGUCGGGUUUGCCGCGCUCGCCGCCCGAUACCGAGGUCGGGUUUGCCGCGCUCGCCGCCCGAUACCGAGGUCGGGUUCACCACAUUUUGUCUCUC